CGAGAGCGUACGCGUAUGCACUUGCCCUUAUCAGGAGGAUAGCCCGGGGAAACUCGGAUUAAUACUCCAUAAUAUUUUAGUUGGCAUCGAUUAAAAUUGAAAGAUUUAUUGGAUAAGGAUAGGCAUGCGUCAGAUUAGCUAGUUGGUGGUGUAACGGACUACCAAGGCGAUGAUCUGUAGGGGGCCUGAGAGGGUGAUCCCCCACACUGGUACUGAGACACGGACCAGACUCCUACGGGAGGCAGCAGUGAGGAAUAUUGGACAAUGGAGGGAACUCUGAUCCAGCCAUCCCGCGUGCAGGAAGACGGCCCUAUGGGUUGUAAACUGCUUUUGUAUGGGGAUAAAUCUACUUACGUGUAGGUAGUUGAAGGUACCAUACGAAUAAGCAUCGGCUAACUCCGUGCCAGCAGCCGCGGUAAUACGGAGGAUGCAAGCGUUAUCCGGAUUCAUUGGGUUUAAAGGGUCCGUAGGCGGGCUAAUAAGUCAGUGGUGAAAUUUUGUCGCUUAACGAUAAAACUGCCAUUGAUACUGUUAGUCUUGAGUGAUAUUGAAGUAGCUGGAAUGUGUAGUGUAGCGGUGAAAUGCAUAGAUAUUACACAGAACACCGAUUGCGAAGGCAGGUUACUAAGUAUUAACUGACGCUGAAGGACGAAAGCGUGGGGAGCGAACAGGAUUAGAUACCCUGGUAGUCCACGCAGUAAACGAUGCUAACUCGUUUUCGGGGAGCGAUCUUCGGAGACCCAGUGCAAAAAAAAA
rnacentral:rRNA from 1 species